AGAGAGAGAGAGAAAGAGAAAGACAGAGAGAGAGAGAGAGAGAGAGAGAGAGAGAGAAGUAGUUGAACGAAAAAGAAACUUUUACGGAGCUUUCUCGCGAGAAUAACUUAGGGACAAAUUAGGCCAGAUUAACUUCGAUUCCGAAUCUUUCUACCUUCUGUUUGUCGUCAGCAUCCCUACCUACUAAUUACCAAUUAUUAUCAAUAUUUUUGAUUAUCUAUAAUUCAAUAGUUUUCUCUCUUCGUUAUACAACGAUCCUCGCUUGGUAUAUACAUCCCUCAUCUUUCCCCUCCCUAUCCUAUCUCAUCCCCUAUUCGCAUGAUCGGACUAAUUUUAUACAUAUAUAUACUUUAUACAUAAUAUAGAUACAUACGUAGACCAUGAAAUUACGCAGUUAUAUUGAGAGAGAAAGAAAAAAUGAUAGAAGAGAGAAAGAGAGAAGAUAUUCGAUUACGAUUAAUCGUUAUUAUUCGUUAAAUGGGAAUAUUUAUUAUCAAUUCUUCUCGCGUAAGCCGGCCGGUCGUAUACAUAUGUUAUUAUAUAUCAUUGUACGUUCUUCUGGCCGAAAGACGAGAGUUUGAUUGAAUAGCGUGAAUUAUAUAAAAGGGUAUGUGUGUUAGAUUGAAAAAGGGAGAAAGAGAGAGAGAGAGAGAGAAAGAGAGAGAGAGAGAGAGAAAAUAUAACAGAGAUAAGAAUAUUGUAAUUGAUAAACGAAAUUCGUGUUAUGGUCUGAGAAAAAGGGUAUCGUAUAAUGUACGUUAUUUAACGCUUUAACAGUCUGAAAAAGAAAUACGAUCUUCUAUUUGAUGUAUUUAUCAAACGUAAAUACAGUGACGUCUAUAAUAUAUUGCAAUAAAAACCAAAUACAAUAA